ACAGAAUGACAGGCGGAUCAGUUGUAACGAUGCCAGGUGACCUCUUAUUCUUCUUUGCCCACUUUUCCGCACCAGUUGUUGCUAUUUGAGGCCAUCGGGAAGCACUAAAGGACCCCGACUUUGUCUCAAUUGAUUGGCUCUAAAU
ensembl:ncRNA C48B6.13 ncRNA